rnacentral:misc_RNA from 1 species
GAAAUCGGACUGCAGAAGUAACACAG